AAAGGAAUAGACGGGGGCCCGCACAAGCGGCGGAGCAUGCGGAUUAAUUCGAUGCAACGCGAAGAACCUUACCAAGGCUUGACAUACACUGCGCGCAUUCCGAGAGGGGUGUUCCUUUAGGGGGUGGUGUACAGGUGGUGCAUGGUUGUCGUCAGCUCGUGUCGUGAGAUGUUGGGUUAAGUCCCGCAACGAGCGCAACCCUUGUCUCAUGUUGCCAGCGUGUUGUGGCGGGGACUCAUGGGAGACUGCCGGGGUUAACUCGGAGGAAGGUGGGGAUGACGUCAAAUCAUCAUGCCCCUUAUGUCUUGGGCUUCACGCAUGCUACAAUGGCCGGUACAAAGGGCUGCGAUGCUGUAAGGCGGAGCGAAUCCCAAAAAGCCGGUCUCAGUUCGGAUUGGGGUCUGCAACUCGACCCCAUGAAGUCGGAGUCGCUAGUAAUCGCAGAUCAGCAUUGCUGCGGUGAAUACGUUCCCGGGCCUUGCACACACCGCCCGU
rnacentral:rRNA from 1 species